rnacentral:snoRNA from 1 species
CCCCUCUUAGAGUCACACCUGGGGAGUUUCCAGGACUCUAUCAGUCUCGGCUACAGGAGGGAGAGUCAAGCAGAGACAUACCCAUUCCAUUCCUAGCUUGGCCAGUGGCUAGCGAGUGGAAGGCAAUCAGCUACAAGU